rnacentral:rRNA from 1 species
UACAGAGGUCCCGAGCGUUGUUCGGAUUCAUUGGGCGUAAAGGGUGCGUAGGUGGCGCUGUAAGUGGGGUGUGAAAUCCCGGGGCUUAACCCCGGGACUGCAUUCCAUACUGCGGUGCUUGAGGACUGGAGAGGAGACUGGAAUUUACGGUGUAGCAGUGAAAUGCGUAGAGAUCGUAAGGAAGACCAGUGGCGAAGGCGGCUACCUGGACCAGCACUGACACUGAGGCACGAAAGCGUGGGGAGCAAACAGG